rnacentral:rRNA from 1 species
UUUAACAAAAACAUGUCCUUUUGAGAUAGAUUUAAGGUCGGGCCUGCCCCCUGCUAUGGAAUUAAAGGGCCGCGGUAUUUUGACCGUGCAAAGGUAGCAUAAUCAUUAGUCUUUUAAUUGAAGGCUGGAAUGAAUGGUUUGACGAAACAUUAACUGUCUCUUUAUAAUAAAUAUAAUUUAACUUCUGAGUUAAAAGGCUUAGAUGACUAUAAAAGACGAGAAGACCCUAUAGAUCUUUAUACAGGGAUAUAUCUAUUUUAUUUAGGUAAAUUUUUGAGUUGGGAUAUGAUUGUAUUUUGUUGGGGUGACAUGAAGAUAAAAAUAACUCUUUAUUAUUAAUACAUUGAUUUAUGAAUAAUUGAUCCWUUAUUAGUGAUUAUAAGAUAAAGUU